CCUACGGGUGGCAGCAGUCGAGAAUCAUUCACAAUGGGGGCAACCCUGAUGGUGCGACGCCGCGUGGGUGAAUGAAGGCCUUCGGAUUGUAAACUCCUGUCAUGUGGGAGCAAAUUAAAAAGAUAGUACCACAAGAGGAAGAGGCUGCUAACUCUGUGCCAGCAGCCGCGGUAAUACAGAGGUCUCAAGAGUUGUUCGGAAUCACGGGGCGUAAAGCGUGCGUAGGCUGUUUCGUAAGUCGGGGGUGAAAGGCGCGGGCUCAACCCGCGGACGGCAGAUGAUACUGGGAGACUAGAGUAAUGGAGGGGGAACUGGAAUUCGCGGUGUAGCAGUGAAAGGCGUAGAUAUCGAGAGGAACACUCGGGGCGAAGGCGGGUUCCUGGACAUUAACUGACGCUGAGGCACGAAGGCGAGGGGAGCGAAAGGGAUUAGAUACCCGAGUAGUC
rnacentral:rRNA from 1 species